rfam:Ictidomys tridecemlineatus contig031487, whole genome shotgun sequence.
UGGGCUGGGGCUCAGUGGUUGAGCGCUUGCCUUGCAUGCGUCAGGCACUGGGUUCGAUCCUUAGCAGCACAG